rnacentral:ncRNA from 1 species
AAAUUGAGUAGAAGCGUUCAGCAUUUUUAUAAUUAUCCAAUCGAAAAUGCAGGUCAUUGCUCAAAGA